rnacentral:rRNA from 1 species
UGCGUAGGCGGUUUGGUAAGUCUUGUGUGAAAUCUUCGGGCUCAACUCGAAGUCUGCACGAGAAACUGCCGGGCUUGAGUGUGGGAGAGGUGAGUGGAAUUUCCGGUGUAGCGGUGAAAUGCGUAGAUAUCGGAAGGAACACCUGUGGCGAAAGCGGCUCACUGGACCACAACUGACGCUGAGGCACGAAAGCUAGGGGAGCAAACAGGAUUAGAUACCCUGGUAGUCCUAGCCCUAAACGAUGAUCGCUUGGUGUGACGGGUACCCAAUCCCGCCGUGCCGCAGCUAACGCGUUAAGCGAUCCGCCUGGGGAGUACGGUCGCAAGGCUGAA